AACGAACGCUGGCGGCAUGCCUAACACAUGCAAGUCGAACGAGACCUUCGGGUCUAGUGGCGCACGGGUGCGUAACGCGUGGGAACCUGCCUUUAGGUUCGGAAUAACUCAGAGAAAUUUGAGCUAAUACCGGAUAAUGUCUUCGGACCAAAGAUUUAUCGCCUUUAGAUGGGCCCGCGUUGGAUUAGCUAGUUGGUGGGUAAAGGCCUACCAAGGCGACGAUCCAUAGCUGGUCUGAGAGGAUGAUCAGCCACACUGGGACUGAGACACGGCCCAGACUCCUACGGGAGGCAGCAGUGGGGAAUAUUGGACAAUGGGCGAAAGCCUGAUCCAGCAAUGCCGCGUGAGUGAUGAAGGCCUUAGGGUUGUAAAAGCUCUUUUACCCGAGAUGAUAAUGACAGUAUCGGGAGAAUAAGACUCCGGCUAACUCCGUGCCAGCAGCCGCGGUAAU
rnacentral:rRNA from 1 species